rnacentral:lncRNA from 1 species
AUGUGUGCAAGAGAGCCCAUCAAAUGUCCAACAAAGUGGUAUCAGAGCUUUGCAAGAUUGGGGGAGAAGAUGGCUAUGACAAAGUGUGGACUUCCACUCCAAUACAACUUUGAUGAUUGGUCAAUUUGACUGAAGGCCAUACUUAGAUCACAAGGGGCAUAGGAAGUUGUCAACAAAGGCUAUGAAGAGGAUCAAGCAA